rnacentral:misc_RNA from 1 species
UCUCCGUAGGUGAACCUGCGGAGGGAUCAUUACUGAGUGAGGGCCUUCGGGCUCGACCUCCAACCCUUUGUGAACACAACUUGUUGCUUCGGGGGCGACCCUGCCGUUUCGACGGCGAGCGCCCCCGAAGGUCUCCCAACACUGCAUCUUUGCGUCGGAGUUUGAUACAAAUGAAACAAAACUUUCAACAACGGAUCUCUUGGUUCUGGCAUCGAUGAAGAACGCAGC